CUCGGCCCCCCCCAGUUGUUGGUGAGGUAACGGCUCACCAAGGCGACGACGGGUAGCCGGCCUGAGAGGGCGACCGGCCACACUGGGACUGAGACACGGCCCAGACUCCUACGGGAGGCAGCAGUGGGGAAUAUUGCACAAUGGGCGAAAGCCUGAUGCAGCGACGCCGCGUGAGGGAUGACGGCCUUCGGGUUGUAAACCUCUUUCAGCAGGGAAGAAGCGAAAGUGACGGUACCUGCAGAAGAAGCGCCGGCUAACUACGUGCCAGCAGCCGCGGUAAUACGUAGGGCGCAAGCGUUGUCCGGAAUUAUUGGGCGUAAAGAGCUCGUAGGCGGCUUGUCACGUCGGGUGUGAAAGCCCGGGGCUUAACCCCGGGUCUGCAUCCGAUACGGGCAGGCUAGAGUGUGGUAGGGGAGAUCGGAAUUCCUGGUGUAGCGGUGAAAUGCGCAGAUAUCAGGAGGAACACCGGUGGCGAAGGCGGAUCUCUGGGCCAUUACUGACGCUGAGGAGCGAAAGCGUGGGGAGCGAACAGGAUUAGAUACCCUGGUAGUCCACGCCGUAAACGUUGGGAACUAGGUGUUGGCGACAUCCACGUCGUCGUGCCGCAGCUACGCAUUGU
rnacentral:rRNA from 2 species